GGGGACGUGGCGCAACGGUAGCGCAUCUGACUCCAGAUCAGCAGGUUGGGGGUUCAAAUCCCUUCGUCCUCA